rnacentral:lncRNA from 1 species
CGCCAUCCCCUCCCCCUAAUUCCCUCUCUCUUGUGCAGCAGCCCCCAUCCCCUCAACCCUAGCCGCCACCCCCCUCCCAUCUCCUCCUCUCCAAGUGAUGUCCUUCCUCGCUGGAUCUUCUUCGUGUGGGUGCAAGUUCCGAUUGGAGAAUUGGUGGGAGGAAGGAAGGAGGAAAGGAGGAACCCAAGGUGAUUUUGUGAUUAACUCUUGUUUAUUUGUGCUGCAAUUCAAUCGAUUAGAUGUUUACGUAUGCGAAUUGGUAGAGGUGCUGUCCAGAAAUUUUGUGGGUGCGCGAACAGCAGUAGUUCUAGCAGAUUCUGGGAAUUUUUCGUGGGUAAUUAGUGGGAAUCAGUGGGAGAAUCAUGUAGAGCUUUUUCAUACCUUUCCAACGAGUACUUAUGCGCUCGAUUUGGAGUUAUAUUUUAGGAGAUAUCGCUGUUUGAAUCCGGGUAUGUUGCUGUCCAAAAAAACAGAUUUGCAGGUGGGCAAACAGCAGUAGUAUUAGCAGUUUCUGGGGAUUUUUCGUGGGAACUUAGUGAUAAUCAAUAUGAGAAUCAUUUAGAGCUUUGUCAUACCUUUCCAACGUACUUAUGCACUCGAUUCGGAGUUAUAUUUUAGGAGAUAUUGCUGUUUGAAUCCGGGUAUGUUGCUGUCCAAAAAAAACAGAUUUAUGCAGGUGGGCGAACAGCAGUAGUAUUAGCAGUUUCUGGGAAUUUUUCGUGGGAAAUUGGUGAUAAUCAAUAUGAGAAUCAUGUAGAGCCUUGUCAUACCUUUCCAACGAGUACUUAUGCGUUCGAUUCGGAGUUAUAAUUUAGGAGAUAUCGCUGUUUGAAUCCGGUUAUGUUGCUGUCCAAAAACAGAUUGCAGGGUGUAUCUUGUAGACGAGUUUGGGCUAAUUAAAUACUGGAAUUUAAUUAUCAUUUGAAUAUAAAACUUGUGGGAAAUUUUAUGUAGAUGCUUCCGUAGUUUUUGAUUGAUAUCACUGCUGUUAUUAUUUUAAAGUUAUGAAAUUAUCAAGCAGCACCGCUGCAGUUUGGUGGUGAUGGGGAGAGUUGUCGCUCGCAACGGGUUGGAAUUGUGCGUAGGUGCGGCGUUGUUUAUUAGCGUUUGUUAUGUUGAUUUGUACACUAAGGUGUGUGUCAAAAACAGGUGGUGGACUUCCGGAUCGUACUUAGUACCAUUCCAAAUUCUCGGUGAAGGCAAGUAAAUACAGUGGUGGUUGCUACCGUUUGGUUUGCAUCCUAUGCCUUGUCAUUGAGUAUGCAUAAGUAUUAAAUGUGUUAAUCAUUGAAUUCUAUGAUGAAGUUUAUUUGUUCGAAAGAAUUAAUUCUCAAUUGUCUAAUAUUGAGGAUGAUCAUGAUUUGGGAAUGAUAUAUGUGGUUGAUUCCCAUCUUGGAUGAAGUUGAAGUAUCUUUUUGAAUCAUGUUGUAUGAAGUGUUGUAGGCAUGUCAUGCACAUCGCAUCAUCCAUAUUGCAUUUUGAAGUUAUGUCGUGAUCUUAUGGUCCGACCGUACCGGUACACUUUUAGCAUCGUACGUUGCCCGAGGAGGGGUACGAUGCGGCUUCAUAUCCUUAGAGGUAUGAAGGCAGAAGUCAUCUUUGCAUUUGCAGACAUUUGCACUCAUGAGGUAUAUAUGAAGUGUGACAUUACUAUGUUACUAUUGUGGUUUCUACCUGCGAGGUGUGGUAACUAGGUGUGUUGUACGUUGUAUUCGUGCUGCACCUUCGUAAUAAGAAGGUUGCGAAAUCAAAUGGUGGUAAAACAAUGUUCUUAUGUGGUUAAACAGUUUGUUAUUAUUUUACUUGCUGAGAUGUGUCAUCUCACUCUUGCAUUACUCAAUGCAGGUACUUGAUAUAUGUUGGGAAUGAGGGGAGUAGCAG